UGGGAUCUGACUGGAGGAUAGGGCCCAGGAAUGCUCACUUAAAGGGCCUCCGGGUGAUCUCUCCGUGCAGCCCUUGGGCACUGACCCCGCUGGAGAACCAGCAGUCCAUGCUCAGAGACUGUCUUUGCAGAGAGAGCAUAGUCUCUGACCCCAGGCUUGCCCCUGUGCUGGGUCCCCCAUGACCCUCUUGUGUGGGUCACUCCAGAGGGUCUAAGCUGCGGUGUGGUGGGCACUGGCUUGGUCAGCUGGAGACUUGCAUUCGGCUCUCGCCCUACUGCAGAUUUGCUGUGGGACCUAAGCUGUGGUUCGCACCACAGCAGUGACGUACCCGAAACCUGGACUCAGUCUUGUGCCCACGGGGGUGAGGGCUUCUCCGUAGUUCUGGGGCUCUGUGCUCCCACAGAGGUGAGGCUGAAGACUGGCGCUGGAGACACAGCCCUGCUGGGCCGGGGUGGUGGGUGGAAGCCGGAAGGUUCUGUCCUGGGCUAUCAAUUCAGCACAGUCCGGGCACUGCCGGGAAGGGACUUUGCAAGGGAAAUUGGGUUUUGGGUCAGCUGGCUUUAACUGGUGGUCUUGGGUGGUCGGAGGCCUCCAGUUCCGUCACGUGGAUCCUUCAAAGCCAAAGAGGAAGGCGGGAGAGUCAGCGAGAUGAGCCAGAGGAGGGCCAGGAGCCUGAAUCCCGAGAAGGGCUUUGCCUGCCAUCGCUGGCUUCGAAGGGGUCAAGGGCCAAGGCACAUGGGCGGCCCUCCGGAAAUAGAACGGCCCCAGCCGGCGGCCCGCGGGGAAGCCGGGACCUCAGUCCCACCUGCUGACACCUCUGCCACCAACCUGAGUCAGCUGGGGAGCCGACUCGUUCCCACAACCCCCCUGAAGCGGACAGUGUGGCUGACCCCGUGAACCUGGCUGUGUGAGGCGGGAGUGGAGGAGCCCGCCGAAGCCUCGAGGACUUCUGACCGUCCGAGCUGUGAGGACGUGUAUUCGUGUCGUGUUAAGCCCCUAAGGUUGAGGUAAUUGGUGCGCAGCAGGGCGACACCAACGCCGCGGGUGACGGGCAAGGAGGCUGGGACGUGUUCGCACUUCUGGGGCCUAGGAGGCUAGGAGAAGGGGAGCAGCUUGCACCCUCCGCACUCAGGAGUCAUUACUGCCUUCGUGGACGUGGCAGACCCAGUGCCAGCUGCUUGAGGUGAGCAGACUUUUCUCGGUGCUCACUAUGUGUCCCCAUUCUACAGAUGAAAUGACUGAGGCACAUAGGCAACUUGCCUAAGGCCACACAACUAAGGACGGAGCUGGGGUUUGAACUGCUGGCCAGCUGAAUCCAGAGUCCUGCUCCUCAGAGGGCAAAAACAGAAGGUGACGUUCUUGGGAAGGGAUGAAACCGGCUCACGUCCGACAGAUGAGUGACUGUCUUUUGGGGAAAGGACCAGAGCAUCCUGUGGUGGGAACAGAAACCGCCCCCUCGAGCAGCCAGGACGGCCCCGAGCCCGUGAGACCCCGUGACUGACCCCGGGACAGUGACAGACCUGACCUUCACCGCCUACCUGCCCACGACCUCCUCCUGUAGGCCUGGAGCUGUUUUCCACCCUUGGGGCGCUGGUCCGAGGGCUUCCCGGGCCUGGCUCCGCGCAACGAACGCCUGUCCUGUCUCACCCCCGCCGUCUCCCUGCCUUUGAUGCUGCCAGCGGUGCGUGGCUGACCUGGUCCGUCGGGGACCCCACCCCACGCUUGCCUUUCGAGGCUGUCUUGCACAUAGAGCAUGCGUGUGUACAUCCACCGACGGGCGCGCGGCCGCAGACUCCUGCCGGCUGCUGGGAACGCGGGUGUGGUUUAUCUUCGAGAACCUGCUUACUGCUCUCUGCGCUCCCGCCCGGGCGUGGGAUGGCUGUGGUGUUGGUAUUUUUAAAGGGAUUUAACAAAUCAUGUUGAAAGACUUCCCUGAAGUUUUAGUCUUCAAUGCACUAAUCAGUAACUAAAAUUAUAGCGACUGAUAGAAACAACUUACGUGGGUUUUGGGGGGAAAUUCUCAAAGGAGUUUUUAAAAAUAAGGUAUUUAUUUAUUUGCGAGAGAGCGGGGGAGAGCACAAGUGGAGGAGCAGCAGACAGAGGGGGAAGCAGGCUCCCCGCCGAGCAGAGAGCCCGAUGCGGGGCUGGAUCCCAGGACGCGGAGAUCAGGACCUGAGCUGAAGGCAGACGCUUCACAGACUGAGCCCCUGAGGUGCCCCAGAGUUCUCAGCAGUUUUGUGGUUGGAGAGAACGUUGGCUCAGGAGGCUGGCAGGGAAGGGGACGAGCUCCCACCGCUUGGAAGGUAAUUAGGAGGUUAACCAGGACGGGACUGUAACCCUGUGUAAGUGGGAGUCAGGGGUGACCUCUGGGUUUCCGGCUUGCAAAACGGGUGGGGUGCUGAGGAGGCCGGG